rnacentral:rRNA from 1 species
GACGAACGCUGGCGGCGUGCUUAACACAUGCAAGUCGAACGAAGUGGCGAACGGGUGAGUAACGCGUAAUCAACCUGCCAGUCAGAAGGGGACAACAGUUGGAAACGACUGCUAAUACCGCAUACAGAAGGGGGGGGUUGCUUCUGAGUAUCUAGGGGGAGGGGUAACGGCCCACCAAGGCGAUGAUCAGUAGCUGUCCGGAGAGGUUGAACGGACAAAGUGGGACUGGGUCACGUCCCAGAAUCCUACGGGAGGCAGCAGUGGGGAAGCUUCCGCAAUGUACGAAAGUCUGACGGAGAAACGCCGCGUGAGUGAUGACGGCCUGCGGGUUGUAAAGCUCUGUUAAUCGGGACGCGGUACCGGAAUAGAAAGCCACGGCUAACUACGGUCCAGCCGCCGCGGUAAUAC